UUGGGAAUCUUGCGCAAUGGGGGCAACCCUGACGCAGCGACGCCGCGUGCGGGAUGACGAUCUUCGGAUUGUAAACCGCUUUUCUCGGGGACGAUAAUGACGGUACCCGAGGAAUCAGCCCCGGCUAACUCCGUGCCAGCAGCCGCGGUAAGACGGAGGGGGCGAGCGUUGUCCGGAAUUACUGGGCGUAAAGGGCGCGUAGGCGGUCGCGUACGGCGGUGGUGAAAGCUCCCGGCUCAACUGGGAGAGGCCCGCCGCAACGGCGUGACUCGAGGAUGGUAGAGGCGGAUGGAAUUCCUGGUGUAACGGUGAAAUGUGUAGAGAUCAGGAGGAACACCCGUGGCGAAGGCGGUCCGCUGGGCCAUGCCUGACGCUGAGGCGCGAAAGCCAGGGGAGCGAACGGG
rnacentral:rRNA from 2 species